rnacentral:rRNA from 1 species
AGUGAACGCUGGCGGUAGGCCUAGCACAUGCAAGUCGAACGGCAGCACAGUAAGAGCUUGCUCUUACGGGUGGCGCGUGGCGGACGGGUGAGGAAUACAUCGGAAUCUACUUUUUCGUGGGGGAUAACGUAGGGAAACUUACGCUAAUACCGCAUACGACCUACUGGUGAAAGCAGGGGAUCUUCGGACCUUUCGCGAUUGAAUGAGCCGAUGUCGGAUUAGCUAGUUGGCGGGGUAAAGGCCCACCAAGGCGACGAUCCGUAUCUGGUCUGAGAGGAUGAUCAGCCACACUGGAAGUGAGACACGGUCCAGACUCCUACGGGAGGCAGCAGUGGGGAAUAUUGGACAAUGGGCGCAAGCCUGAUCCAGCCAUACCGCGUGGGUGAAGAAGGCCUUCGGGUUGUAAAGCCCUUUUGUUGGGAAAGAAAAGCAGCAGGUUAAUACCCCGCUGUUCUGACGGUACCCAAAGAAUAAGCACCGGCUAACUUCGUG